GCAGUGGGGGUUCAGUGGCGGAACUCUCAUUUUCCAUGUGGAAGACCCAGGUUCAAAUCCCAGCCAAUGUA
rnacentral:tRNA from 1 species